ACUUGAGGUUUACCGUGGAAUUCUGAGAUGAUUUUGUUGUGAAUUACAGUUGAGAAGUUAAAAGAAAUACCGAUUUUUGGGUUUUGUCGGGUGAGUGCCCCACGGAAAUAAAAGAACCCAUUGUUAAAGCUCCACAUUUUUAUUUCUGUCUAGGGGUGGGGGUUCACCCACUCAUCCAAAAAUAGUUCCGCUCAACACGCCUGAAUUCAGCUCCUGAGAAACGAAGCAGCAAAGACUAAUUAAAAGAAAAAGUAUAUAUAUGUUGACUACACCACAAUGAAACUUGUUUGAGGGUAUUUUAAUUUAAUGAAAUGGUUUGGAAAUGUAGCCUAACUGUUUCCCUGCGGGGCGCUGCUUGGGAAACGGUUAACAUAAAAACAGGCCUGGGAGAUGCCCAUAAUAGGAUUGCCCUCGCCAAAGUAAUAAUGAAAAAAUCCUCUGAACCUUUGAUUUCAAAUAAUUUCUCUGGACAGGACAGACUGUCAGGGCACAAGGCGGAAAACUAAGACGGAGCCGCACCAAAAUUCUUUUAAUGUAGCACCCCGAAAAACUAGAAUUGCAUAGCAAAAUUAGCGGGUGUGGUUAGCAUUGCGGGGCUGCUCUCGAGCGCCUUGUUGCAUCUUCGUUUGUUUGACCUCAGCGCCUACCAAUCAAGACACCGUUUCAGUCAAAAGCAACCAAUUACCUUACAGUAUUUUCGAAACCGUGGGAAGUGACGUUGGUGGGGUACAGUUUGAUGCUAGACGACUAGUUCUCACAUGUUAAAAGCGAAGGAACAAAAACUCAACGAUUGAGACCUUUUCAAAUGUAAAAAACAAAAGUAAAUAAUUCAGGGAAGCUCCUGUCGGUGCCAUCUACACAGAGCUCCUCUGAACCAACGGUUGAGAAUGAAACAGACGGCUUGUCAACUGAAGCGAGGCCUGUCGGGCUGUCGAUUCGGAUCGCCCUGUUAAUAAGCUGACAUCCUUCCCCCCCGCCCGAGUUCCUGGGACUGGGAGUUCGGACCCACCGGCAGUUUGAGAGGAGGGUCACAAGGCGAGAGACAUUCGGACAAACUGAUUGUGUGUCAUUGACUUUUCUGGUGACGUUCAUGCCACCGUUAACUGCACUUAAGUUUGUAUGGUUGUAAAUGCAGCUGGUAUGAUAUGUUGCAAAAAAUCUGAACAUAAGUCAUUAUCAGUUGAACAUGUGUCGGGUUCACAGCGUAUGGAGUGGCUGAAAGUCAAUGUAUUUGCUUGUUAAGCCAGGUUUGAGAAUCACCGCCUUGGUCAACAGGGACUGAAGAAUAACUGGUCACCCCUGAGUUCACAAUAAUGGCAGUGGGUCUAGAGAAGAAGCUAGCCAAGAUUUCAGUAUAAAUAUACCCAUGGCCCUUUGUGUUGAGUAGAGGUUGUUUGACUUCUCUCCUCUCUCUGAGGAACGGUCUUUUCAAUGAAGCCACCCCCAAGGCACUUUUUAAAAUAAGACUGAUUGUAAGCGGAGAAAGA